ensembl:lncRNA
UGAUGUGUCAAAUCAAGAGCUGGAUAAAGUGGGGAGCAGUGAAAACAUUCCACAGACUCCAAAUGGAGUUGUGGAGAACACUGAUGAGUUUCUAGAUACUGAAGCUCAGGACAUCAUGACACAACCUGACCCAACUGAGAAACCACACGUUGUUCCAAAUAACUCAGCCAGUACAUGUGAAUCAGACAAUCAUAGCUCUCCACAAACUCCUGAUGGACAUGUGACCAAAGAGGACAUCUGUCCUGAGAGGAAGGACAACAUGUCUGAAAAGACCGAUUCAACCAAUGACCAAGAAAACGCUGAUAAUCAGAAGAAGCCUGUGGUGAAAACAAAUUCUCUGAAAGGUCCGGCAAAAGGCAAACUAGGAUCCUGGUCCAAAGGAAAGAGUCCUUUGUCAAAGCUCUUCACAUCGACAGCUAAUAAAGCUGAACCAAAAGAUGCCAAGAAAACAGAUGGUAAAACUAGUGGAGGACUGUUAGGAAGACUGCUCCACUCAUCCUCAGAGAAGGUGGAGGAGGUCACAAAAUCAGCUGUCCAGGAUGGAGGAAAUGCUGAUGACCAGAGAGAAGAGAUGGAAAGAGAGAUUCGAAUGGAAGAAGAUGUGUCUGGAGUCCCACUUGUAGAACAAAAUGCUGGGAGCCAUAUUGAUGUCACAGCACAGUGUUCUGAGCCCAGCACAGUGGAUCCUGACCUCAGGUCUACAGAGGCCAACCUGCCCCACACCACUGUGAGCAAAACAGGCGACAAUGUCACAGCUCCGGUGCAACCUGACAAAAACCCAUCCGAUUCGCAGAGCAGUGAGGGCACAGCCCCGACUGUCAGUGAGCCCAACCAGCUACUCUCUGCUGACCAGUCAGUCAACACAGUGCAUGAGGAGUCAGUCAGUAACCUAACACCUGAGAAAAGCAGUGAAGAAAUAGUAACUGGUCCAUUUAAUGAUGAUAUAUUUGGAGACUCUUUCAGCCCACACGCCACACUUAACCCGCUGGCCAUUCAGAUCAACAGUGAUGAGCUGAACAAACAGUCUGAGGCAGCAGAUGAAGAAGGGGAUGACCUGAACAAAGGGGCUUUGGAUCUCAGCCACAAAGAGCCACAAGAUCCCUUUAGUGGUUUUGGUCUGCCUGAUGCACCCAGUGACACAGUCUCAUCUCCUCUGGGAAACACAGCUUUGUCUGCUGAAGACUCAUCUGAAAGUUUGAUUGUCUCUCAACCAAUAUCAGCUGAAAAUGAAGUGAUGUCAGACCAGCUCAUUGUCCCAGACUCAGUACCUUUAAACCAAGAUGAAACCUCAGAUCCUUUUGGUGCAGCUACGCUGGACUCUAGCUUUGACAUAUUCAGCCCAAAUGAUGACCCUCUAACCGCACCUCCUGCUGUUGAUGUAUCCAAUAAAGUCGGAGCAAAUCAACCACCUGCCUUUACUGAUGACAUCUUUGGAAUGAGUGAUGUCUCAAACGGUGCAGAUGUGUUCACAGCUCCUCUAAACGGCGCUGUCUCCUCUAGUGCACUGACUGAUUUGCUUGGGUCUGACGUGUCCCUCACCGCUGCUCCUUCAGCUCAGGUAGACCUUUUUGCCGAUGAUAUCUUUGCAUCAGAGGCACAGCUGCUGCCAGAGUCAGAGGUCAGCGGUGCCGGUGUGUUUGCAGACGGUCUAUUAGUGUCUGAAAAUAAUCUCCUCAACACUGAGCAGAAGACAGAGAACAGUAGCUGGAUGGAUGAUUUGCUUGGGUAAUAGCACAGUUAUGGUUUAAUGAUAUACUUGUAAAAGCACUUCAUC